GCCUUUGUAGGCAGCCAUUUUAUUAAACGCGGCGAGCUGAAAGCACUUGAGGGGAUUAGAUUUUCCCGGUUUUUCAUAGUUAUAUUAAUAUACUUUCAUUAAGACAGCAGGCGUAAUGGAGACCGAUGGUCUGACCGAUUUCACCUCAGACGAGUGUCCAGAGGGAUCUAAAAUAAAUGCAAGUAAAAAUCAGCAGGAUGACGGGAAAAUGUUUAUUGGUGGCCUCAGCUGGGACACCAGCAAGAAAGACCUCAAAGAUUAUCUUUCUAAAUUCGGAGAAGUACUGGACUGCACGAUCAAAACAGAUGCCGUGACCGGACGGUCACGGGGUUUCGGAUUCGUACUCUUCAAAGAUGCAGAGAGUGUUGAAAGAGUUUUGGAGCUGAAGGAGCACAAGUUGGAUGGGAAGCUCAUUGAUCCCAAGCGAGCCAAAGCCAUGAAGGGGAAGGAACCUCCUAAGAAGGUCUUUGUUGGUGGACUCAGCCCAGAGACAACAGAGGACCAAAUCAGGGAAUACUUCGGGACGUAUGGAGAGAUAGAAAAUAUUGAACUUCCUGUCGAUGCCAAAACAAAUGAAAGGAGAGGAUUCUGCUUUGUGACCUUUGUGGAAGAAGAACCCGUUCAGAAGCUCCUGGAGAACAGAUACCAUGAAGUCGGACCAGGAAAGUGUGAAAUCAAGGUGGCACAGCCCAAAGAAGUCUACAGGAAACAACAGAACCGGGCGGAGGGCAGAGGCGGCUACGGAGGCGGCAGAGGAGGUGGUUUCCGGGGGCGUGGUAGAGGUGGAGGUCAAAAUUACAAUCAAGGCUAUGGUAACUAUUAUGGCCAGAACUACGGAAGCUACGGCGAUGGAUACAGUCAGGGGUACAAUGGCUAUACGGGCUAUGAUUACUCCGGCUAUAACUAUCAGAAUUAUGGAUAUGGCCAGGGUUACGAUGACUACAGUGGGCAGCAAAGCAGCUAUGGCAAGGCAUCACGAGAAGGCGGUAAUCACCAGAACAACUACCAGCCAUACUGAGGGAUUGUCUAGACCUGCUUAGAUCAUUUUAUUUCCCUUGCGGGAACUUCAUUGCAGGCCGUGUGUCACCUGACCACAAAUCUCUGGGCGUCGCACAUAGCGGGCAGAGAGCCAGGCAUGCACAAGAAAACGCUGUCCUGUGUGUCCUUGUAUUUCAGUUCUGGAACUUCAGAGGUGGACAAGCUGACAGCGAGAGUGACUACCAUUUGAAGGCAGCUUGUGGAUUCCUAUUCCCUAACGAAUCAGUCUUCGCGUAUUUUUCAUGAUAAAGGCCCUGAUUUUCAGUUGUCCUCUGGAGAUGGAAGACACGCUUUGUACAUAGUGAGGAUUUUUAGCAAUUGUGUUGUUUUUUUUCCCUCCUUGUAUGUCCUCUUGUGCUCUGUUGAAGGUGUUGUAGCGUUUGAGCUUACCUUAUGUUCUUAAAUCUGUAUUCAGAAAGUGACCUUUUUGUUUCUGUUUUAAUUUUCUGAGGUUUUGGAUAAAGGGAUCAUUAAAUCGAGGGUACCAUA